UACAGAGGCCUCGAGCGUUAGGCGGAAUCACUGGGCUUAAAGCGUGUGUAGGCGGACUUCUAAGUGCCUUGUGAAAUCCCACGGCUCAACCGUGGAACUGCUGGGUAUACUGGUUGUCUUGAGCCAGCUAGGGGCGAGCGGAACAGACGGUGGAGCGGUGAAAUGCGUAGAUAUCGUCUGGAACGCCGAAGGUGAAAACAGCUCGCUGGGGCUGCGCUGACGCUGAGACACGAAAGCCAGGGGAGCGAACGGG
rnacentral:rRNA from 1 species